AAUCACAGCACAAUGUGCCAUGUCCACUCACAUUUUUUAAACACUUCUGGGGAUGGCCAAGAUGAUGUGAGCCUGUUUCAAUGCUCUGCUUCUCUUUCAGUGUGGAAAGCUUUCCUCAGAUCCAACCUAAACCUCCUGGUGCAAUUCAAGAAUUGCCCUUCUCUUGUCACUUGUUCCCUGGGAGAAAAGACCAGCUCCCUUCAACCUCUUUCCUGGCAGUGGUUGAGAGGGAGAAGGUUCUCCUUGAACCUCUUUUUCUCCCAGUGCUCUCAGUUGCCCCUGGCAGAACUUUUGCCCCAGAGCCUCCCACCACUUUUUGAUUCAUCUGAUUUCUCUGCUGGAUUGCUCCUGAUUGGAAAUUGGUUUUGUGGCCACCUGCCACCCUCUUUUGAGCUGCACUGAGUGCCCUCUCUGCCAUCCCGGGUGUCACUUCAUGCCAAGCAGCAGAGAAGACAACAAGGUUGUUCUCAGGCAUGUCAUAUUGCCAUUUGGAGUAAUAAAUACUUCAUCAAGUUUGUCACGUUUAAAAAUGAGAGAAUGAAAAUGAGAAAAGAAAAAGGGAGAUUCACAGUAAUGUCAGUCUUUGAAAAGGGACGCAUACAUUCAAAUGUUUAUUCUGCUGAUAUUGAAGAAGACUGUCUUUCUUAACAACAAAACUAUUGUAAAUGUCUCAAAAUUAAACAACAAGCUUCGGGCAAAAAGAUGUAUGCGCAGCAAAAAAAAGCUAUUACUUACAAGACCAUAUGUGCCAGAAGGCAAAUACUCCCAUGUUCAAAGACAGAACGGAGGAGACAACAUAUUCCAGUUCUGAGUCCUUUUAAUGCCUCU